rnacentral:rRNA from 1 species
UGGGGAAUCUUCCGCAAUGGACGAAAGUCUGACGGAGCAACGCCGCGUGAGUGAAGAAGGUUUUCGGAUCGUAAAACUCUGUCUUUUGGGGCGAACGUGAGUAUGGUGAACAAUCAUAGUCAGUGACGGUACCAAAGGAGGAAGCCACGGCUAACUACGUGCCAGCAGCCGCGGUAAUACGUAGGUGGCAAGCGUUGUCCGGAAUUAUUGGGCGUAAAGAGCGCGUAGGCGGGAUAGUCAGUCUGUUGUAAAAGUGCGGGGCUCGACCCCGUGAUGGCAAUGGAAACAGCUAUUCUUGAGUGCAGGAGAGGAAAGUGGAAUUCCCAGUGUAGCGGUGAAAUGCGUAGAUAUUGGGAGGAACACCAGUGGCGAAGGCGACUUUCUGGACUGUGUCUGACGCUGAGGCGCGAAAGCCAGGGGAGCGAACGGGAUUAGAUACCCCCGGUAGUCCUGGCCGUAAACGAUGGGUACUAGGUGUGGGAGGUAUCGACCCCUUCCGUGCCGGAGUUAACGCAAUAAGUACCCCGCCUGGGGAGUACGGUCGCAAGACUGAAACUCAAAGGAAUUGACGGGGUCAUAGCUGUUUCCU